UCCUAUGAGGAGCGCGUACUGCGGAGACAUUGUCGAACUCGCUCAGCGAAACGACCCGCGAACACGUUGUAAACACACUGGUGGGGCGGAGGGCUCUCGAGCCCCUCGUCCCGCCUCGCGCGGCAAGGGUGCGCGGGCUCGCGCCCAAGCCCCUCGUCGCGCGCAACAACAAAACCCACAGCGCGGGAUGCGCCAAGGAACUCGAAUGAAAAAGCACGCCCCAGUCGCCCCGAUCUUGGUGCGCGGCUGGCGGUCGUGUCGUCCCUAAACGAUGUCUAAAAUGACUCUCGGCAACGGAUAUCUCGGCUCUCGCAUCGAUGAAGAACGUAGCGAAAUGCGAUACUUGGUGUGAAUUGCAGAAUCCCGUGAACCAUCGAGUCUUUGAACGCAAGUUGCGCCCGAAGCCAUCAGGCCGAGGGCACGUCUGCCUGGGUGUCAAGCACCGUCGCCCCCGACCCCCCCGCAUCCCUUCGGGAAGGGAAGGGACCAUCGCGGGGCGGAUGUUGGCCUCCCGUGCGCCUUUGGCUCGCGGUUGGCCUAAAAAAGAGUCUCGAGCGACGCCGCGUCACGGCUUGGCGGUGGUAGAGAAAGCCUCGUGCUCCCUCGUGCGCGCGUCGCUCGCUCGCGGCUCACGGACCCAACGAUCGAUCGAUCGAGAUGCGACCCCAGGUCAGGCGGGAUCCUCAA
rnacentral:rRNA from 1 species